rnacentral:lncRNA from 10 species
UGAGGUCCCGUCUCUGCAAGAAUACAAAAAUCAGCCAGGCAUAAGAGAAUGUUGCGGAAGGUCACAACUGCUGCUCAGGUGCCAUCAAUCCUCAGGACCCUGUCUGCCUGGGAUUUGCUAUGGAAGGCUCAGCAGAGCAGAGACCAGGAGAUGCUUCAGCUGUUCACAGGUCCUGCCUUUGGCGAUGGUUAGCGGAAUCUGUUUCUGUGCUGGAAAGAGAGCUGGCAAAGUUGGGGUGAGAAACAUCACACUGGAAUAGGUUAAUUACAUGAAAUGAAACUCAUUUGCGUAAAUUAUUAUAAAACACAGCACAAGACAUUUUAGGUACGAUAAUUGGUUUGACAAAUUAUAUUUCUGGAGUCGAAAUAUACAGACAUGUUCCUUGUGAAACAUACAGGCGUAACACAGAUUGUAGGUUGGUUUUGAACAUACUGUGCAAGUUUACCAUCACCAGAAGCUCCUCAAAUUACUGUCAGGAGCAGUCAUGUGGUGUUGUGCAGAGUAACGUACAAAGCGAGCUUCCAGCCGCUGGUAAAUACAGAGACCAUAUGGAUGCCUACUGGGACUUCCAUUAAACAUUAGGGACUUCAAUUAAAGGGAGAUAGCAAGUUUUAUCUUGUUUGCUGGAGAGUAGAUUCUGUUGAGCCAGGGACCUGGACUUUUCUUUGUCUACUCCUGAUCCUUGUUAUACUGCAAAGGGGCCUCGAUCCAGACCCCAAGAGAGGGUUCUUGGACCUCACAUAAUAAAGAGUUUGGGGCAAGUCCAUAAAGUGAAAGCAAGCUUAUUAAGAAAGUAAAUGAACAGGCUGGGUGCAGUGGUUUACACCUGUAAUCCCAGCACUUUGGGAAGCCAAGGUGGGCGGAUCACUUGAGGUCAAGAGUUCAAGAACAUCCUGGCCAACAUGGUGAAACCACGUCUCUACUAAAAAUACAAAAAUUAGCUGGGUGUGGUGGCGUGCACCUGUAAUCCCAGCUACUCAGGAGGUUGAGGCAGGAGAAUUGCUUGAAUCCG